rnacentral:rRNA from 1 species
GCAAUGGACGAAAGUCUUGCCGGAGCAACCCCGCCUUGAGUGAUGAAGGUUUUCGGAUCGUAAAGCUCUGUUGUUAGGGAAGAACAAGUGCGAGAGUAACUGCUCGCACCUUGACGGUACCUAACCAGAAAGCCCCGGCUAACUACGUGCCAGCAGCCGCGGUAAUACGUAGGUGGCAAGCGUUGUCCGGAAUUAUUGGGCGUAAAGGGCUCGCAGGCGGUUUCUUUAAGUCUGAUGUGAAAGCCCCCGGCUCAACCGGGGAGGGUCAUUGGAAACUGGGAAACUUGAGUGCAGAAGAGGAGAGUGGAAUUCCACGUGUAGCGGUGAAAUGCGUAGAGAUGUGGAGGAACACCAGUGGCGAAGGCGACUCUCUGGUCUGUAACUGACGCUGAGGAGCGAAAGCGUGGGGAGCGAACAGGAUUAGAUACCCUGGUAGUCCACGCCGUAAACGAUGAGUGCUAAGUGUUAGGGGGUUUCCGCCCCUUAGUGCUGCAGCUAACGCAUUAAGCACUCCGCCUGGGGAGUACGGUCGCAAGACUGAAACUCAAAGGAAUUGACGGGGGCCCGCACAAGCGGUGGAGCAUGUGGUUUAAUUCGAAGCAACGCGAAGAACCUUACCAGGUCUUGACAUCCUCUGACAACCCUAGAGAUAGGGCUUUCCCUUCGGGGACAGAGUGACAGGUGGUGCAUGGUUGUCGUCAGCUCGUGUCGUGAGAUGUUGGGUUAAGUCCCGCAACGAGCGCAACCCUUGAUCUUAGUUGCCAGCAUUCAGUUGGGCACUCUAAGGUGACUGCCGGUGACAAACCGGAGGAAGGUGGGGAUGACGUCAAAUCAUCAUGCCCCUUAUGACCUGGGCUACACACGUGCUACAAUGGACAGAACAAAGGGCUGCAAGACCGCAAGGUUUAGCCAAUCCCAUAAAUCUGUUCUCAGUUCGGAUCGCAGUCUGCAACUCGACUGCGUGAAGCUGGAAUCGCUAGUAAUCGCGGAUCAGCAUGCCGCGGUGAAUACGUUCCCGGGCCUUGUACACACCGCCCGUCACACCACGAGAGUUUGCAACACCCGAAGUCGGUGAGGUAACCUUUAUGGAGCCAGCCGCCGAAGGUGGGGCAGAUGAUU